UGAGUGAGCCGGACAGUCGCGUGCGUUUUUGCGUAUGAGGAAAGUCCGAGCAUCACAGGGCAGGAUAACGGCUAACGGCCGCCGAGGGUGACCUUAGGGAAAGUGCAACAGAGAUAUACCGCCGUAGUAUUACGGUAAGGGUGGAAAGGCGAGGUAAGAGCUCACCGGCACGCAGGAGACUGCGUGGCCCUGCAAACCCUAUCCGAUGCAACGCCGACCGAAGCAAUACAUUGGCCCGAUGUGCUUCAACGGGCGGCUGGAGCUGUGUGGCAACACACAGUCGAGAUAGAUGACUGUCCACGACAGAACUCGGCUUACAGGCUCACUCAACAA
rnacentral:RNase_P_RNA from 1 species